CGCAUUGAACUCACUCAUCUAUUGUUUACUGGCAAGUGCCCGGCAGCCAUCAUCUUUUAUUUUGGAAAGUGUGUAAUUUUCAGUCGUUUUGCGUUCAGCUCUGAUGGUGCGGUUCUUUUGUUCCUGCGAUUCCCACUACCAGAACAGCGAUGAAUAAAGUUCCGCGCGCCCGCCCGGUUGCCAAGCCGUCCAACUCGGCCCUGGCCAAUCGCCUUACGGAAGCGGCCCGCUUUGAUCCCAACUGCAUUUGCGAACGCCCGCACACGAAAGUCGUUUGCUCGGUGUGCCAUUUCGCCACGUUCGGCCGUGCUCUUCGACCCUGCAAGGCCCAUCCGAAUGUUUACUUUCUGAUGGAUUUCUCAUAUUGUCCGAAAUGCAAGCAGAGUUGCCGCUAUCUGAAGGAAGUUCCGGAGGAUGGCAAUCGAUUUUGAGCGAUCUGAAUGUUAUCAGCCUCUGACAAGAAAGCAUUAGCUUCAAU